rnacentral:rRNA from 1 species
GAUGAACGCUGGCGGCGUGCCUAAUACAUGCAAGUCGAGCGAACAGACGAGGAGCUUGCUCCUCUGACGUUAGCGGCGGACGGGUGGGUAACACGUGGAUAACCUACCUAUAAGACUGGGAUAACUUCGGGAAACCGGAGCUAAUACCGGAUAAUAUAUUGAACCGCAUGGUUCAAUAGUGAAAGACGGUUUUGCUGUCACUUAUAGAUGGAUCCGCGCCGCAUUAGCUAGUUGGUAAGGUAACGGCUUACCAAGGCGACGAUGCGUAGCCGACCUGAGAGGGUGAUCGGCCACACUGGAACUGAGACACGGUCCAGACUCCUACGGGAGGCAGCAGUAGGGAAUCUUCCGCAAUGGGCGAAAGCCUGAAGGAGCAACGCCGCGUGAGUGAUGAAGGUCUUCGGAUCGUAAAACUCUGUUAUUAGGGAAGAACAAAUGUGUAAGUAACUAUGCACGUCUUGACGGUACCUAAUCAGAAAGCCACGGCUAACUACGUG